GAGACUCACCCGCUUGGCGAGAGCCAACCGCAGAUGCCGGAAGGCGGGACUUCUGGGCCCGCACUCUUGCUUGCUCCCUCCCUGUUCUCGGGCCGCUGUGUUUCCAGAGACCCGAGAGUUUCCAGAGUUUGGGCAUCAACAGCGCGUCGAGACUCACGAGGCUCCAUGGGCGGCACUGCAGCGUCUUCCUGGCCUUUGGGACACUGGGCAUAAGACAAAAUUUAAGAAAAGGCAAUUGACCCGGCCCUCGUGGUGCAGGGAGACAGGAGCAGGUGGAGCGCGGUUCAGAAACCCAGUCUCGGGGGAGAAAAAAAAGGAAGAAAGCAAUUGAAAUCACACAAAAGUUCCAGCCUUGAUUCCCUGCCCUGACUUCUCUACACAAUGGACUGUAAGCUAUAAGAAAACAAAAGGCUAUGGAUCUGUUCAAGGUUAAAGAGGAUCAGGUUUGAUGGGGGAAGACCCCCUGAAAAUCCUGGCUGCAGAUAUAAAGAAAAAAACCCAGAAAAAAACUACAAGACAG